rnacentral:rRNA from 1 species
AUCGGAACGUGCCCAGUCGUGGGGGAUAACUACUCGAAAGAGUAGCUAAUACCGCAUACGAUCUGAGGAUGAAAGCGGGGGACCUUCGGGCCUCGCGCGAUUGGAGCGGCCGAUGGCAGAUUAGGUAGUUGGUGGGAUAAAAGCUUACCAAGCCGACGAUCUGUAGCUGGUCUGAGAGGACGACCAGCCACACUGGGACUGAGACACGGCCCAGACUCCUACGGGAGGCAGCAGUGGGGAAUUUUGGACAAUGGGCGAAAGCCUGAUCCAGCAAUGCCGCGUGCAGGAUGAAGGCCUUCGGGUUGUAAACUGCUUUUGUACGGAACGAAAAAGCUUCUCCUAAUACGAGAGGCCCAUGACGGUACCGUAAGAAUAAGCACCGGCUAACUACGUGCCAGCAGCCGCGGUAAUACGUAGGGUGCGAGCGUUAAUCGGAAUUACUGGGCGUAAAGCGUGCGCAGGCGGUUAUGUAAGACAGAUGUGAAAUCCCCGGGCUCAACCUGGGAACUGCAUUUGUGACUGCAUGGCUAGAGUACGGUAGAGGGGGAUGGAAUU